AGUGAACGCUGGCGGUAGGCCUAACACAUGCAAGUCGAACGGCAGCACAGUAAGAGCUUGCUCUUACGGGUGGCGAGUGGCGGACGGGUGAGGAAUACAUCGGAAUCUACUUUUUCGUGGGGGAUAACGUAGGGAAACUUACGCUAAUACCGCAUACGACCUACGGGUGAAAGCAGGGGAUCUUCGGACCUUGCGCGAUUGAAUGAGCCGAUGUCGGCUUAGCUAGUUGGCGGGGUAAAGGCCCACCACGGCGACGAUCCGUAGCUGGUCUGAGAGAGUGAUCAGCCAGACUGGAACUGAGACACGGUCCAGACUCCGACGGGAGGCAGCAGUGGGGAAUAUUGGACGAUGGGCGCAAGCCUGAUACAGCCAUACCGCGUGGGUGAAGAAGGACUUCGGGUUGUAGAGCCCUUUUGUUGGGAAAGAAAAGCAGCAGGUUAAUACCCCGCUGUUCUGACGGUACCCAAAGAAUAAGCACCGGCUAACUUCGUG
rnacentral:rRNA from 1 species